CCUACGGGUGGCAGCAGUCGAGAAUUAUUCACAAUGGGGGAAACCCUGAUGGUGCGACGCCGCGUGGGGGAAUGAAGGUCUUCGGAUUGUAAACCCCUGUCAUGUGGGAGCAAAUUAAAAAGAUAGUACCACAAGAGGAAGAGACGGCUAACUCUGUGCCAGCAGCCGCGGUACUACAGAGGUCUCAAGCGUUGUUCGGAAUCCCUGGGCGUAAGGCGUGCGUAGGCGGGUUCGUAGUUCGUGUGUGAAAGGCGCGGGCGCAACACGCGAACGGCACAUGAUACUGCGAGACUAGAGUAAUGGAGGGGGAACAGGAAUUCUCGGUGUAGCAGUGAAAUGCGUAGAUAUCGAGCGGAACACUCGUGGCGAAGGCGGGUUCCUGGACAUUAACUGACGCUGAUGCACGAAGGCCAGGGGAGCGAAAGGGAUUAGAUACCCCUGUAGUC
rnacentral:rRNA from 1 species